rnacentral:lncRNA from 1 species
GCUCUAGAAAGAAUUAGGGAGAGGAUACGAUGACUAGUUUACCAUUUAUUAUCUGGAGUAUAAAAAAACAGUAAAAAUCCUGAAUCAGGUUAAAGACGUCCGUUAGAAAUACGAAACGCCCGGAUACAUGUGCUGAAGGGGUUGAUUUGGGGGCUUUUUUUUUUUUUUAAACAUGUUUGAGCCGAGUUUAAUUUCUGCACAAACUUAGCAAAUGUCUGUUGUGAAUAAUCUCUUGAGCUUAAAAGGUAUUUUACAAGUGUUCUCAGCAUUUGAAGUUCCGGGUUCUUAUGCUUUUAUCGAUUAGUUUUGUGUUGGUGGGAACAUAAGGAGAAAAGAGGAGAUGGAGAGGCCAGUAGUUAAAUGUAUUGGUCCGUUGGGGGAUACUGUUCGAAGUUAAAGGCGGGUCUUGGUCAAAAGAACCCUUUUACGCUAUAAAAUUUGCGUCGUCACUAAUUGUGGAGUGUGUAAAAAAGAAUUGCGUUUUUGAGUGGUUAAGAGUCCUUUUUGUCAGCCUCCUAAUGAAUGCGUGUGUUUACUACAGCGAAGCUGUUUGUGUUUGGAAUUUUACCAAAGAGCGUGGAGAGGGGUGACUUUUCUUUAACUAGUUAAAGUACGAAGUAUUUAUUCUCUGUUUAAAACAACAACAACAACAAAACAACUCUGUUUAUAUGCUCCAGAUGUAAAAGCUUUCCAGCAGCCUUAAGGCUGAGAAAAAGGCAGAACUUUUACCAGGAACUCUUUCUUAUUUACCUUCUCCUUUAGUAUCAAGUUAUUCCUGGGAGGCCCCCUGGUGCUUGCUGUGUUUACUGCUUGGGAUUUUGUGGUCUUUAAUUGAUAGAAACAUCUUGCUGGGUCUGUGAGAAAUUUGUUUAGUUAAAAAAAAUUUAUGCUUGUAGUACAUGGCUGGCUCUAUUAGGGAAAUAUAGUUAUUUUAAAUCUUUAUAUCUUGUUACUCUUCGGAGAAGGGGAAUUUAAGCCCACCACUGUUUUCAUAUAAUCUAAAUUUUAAAUUAAAUUUGGAUCAGAUUUUAUCGCAGUUUAUUAAUAUUUUUAAUUUUUCAUAAAUACCUUAUAGCAGAUGCAUGUAUUUUAAACCGAUCUAGAAGCCUUUAAAUCAAAUGUACUUCUAUACAGUUACAGAUGCUUAAAUACAACUAAUAGAGUGGGAGUUGUAGAGAAAAAGGGGAAAGUAGCCUGAGCUAUAUCAUUGUUAAAUAUUUGGUUCUAUCAUCAGUCACCAGCACCCACCAGUCCCCCCUUCUUGGGUAAGAAUACGUUCUUUUUUUCUAAUAUAGCAAGUGUUUAUUGACUGCACUGCCAGGCACCAGGAGUCAAAGAUAAGGCUCACUCCUCACUCAAGCAGCUCAGUAUAAACAAGUGGCUUCUCAGUGUGUGCUAGCCUUCCUGCUCUUCCUGCUUUGAAUGUACAAUUUAUUAGUAGUUUUGUUACAUUCUUGUUCCUUAAUCCAGACGAAGACUGCUUUUGUUGUUACUCUAAAAUAUUACCAGUCCCUCCUUCCCUCCCCAAGCCUAAACCUGUUCAAAUAAAUUUUGAAGUCUUGGAUUUUCUAGUGAGUAAAUUCAAUCUUGAAAAAAAAAUUUUUUUUGAGACAGGGUUUCUCUGUACCUGGCUAUCCUGGAACUUGCUCUGUAGACCAGGCUGCCUCAAACUCUGCCUCCCCAAAUACUGGGAAUUAGAGACAUGCACCACCUCUGCCGGGCAGCCUACUUUAGUUUUCAGUAUUACAUGCUAAUUUAACUCAAAUUCAAGUGGUGCUAUUCUGUAAAGUUGCCUCGCAGAACAGAAUAACCUGGUUAUAUAUUUUGUGCGUCCUAAAUGAAAGUGAACAUUAAAAGAUACAUAAUUAUAGUUAAAGAUGUCUAGGUUAUAUAUUUUGUGUGUCCUAAAUGAAAGUGAACAUUAAAAGAUAUGUAAUUAUAGUUAAAGACGUCUAUCCAUAGCAAGACUACAGUUAGUGGUCAUUGUAUUGAAAGUGUGAAGAGAACCUUCGAGAAUGUGUGCUCUAAGGACCAGUAUGAUAAAUAUGACAUCCUUGGUAGAUAAAAUGUGUGGAUUCAGUGUGUUCAGCCAUUUCACAGUGUAUGCACUUAAAAUAUGUGUUCCUAAAAGAUGCAGUGUUGUCUAUCAAUUAAAGAUUGCUUUUGGCUGGGCAAAAAGUUGUGGCUUUAAUCCCAGCACCCAGUAGGCUGAGGCAGGCAGAUCUCUGAGCUCUAGACCAGCAAAACACAACAGGAAAAAAACCUUGCUUUUGUAAAAAUGUUUUUUUGCAUUAAGAGAAAAAAAUUGAUCAGAACCUAGUCUCAUUUUAAAGUGUUUACUUUAUGUUACAGUUUAUUCAUUUAAAAAUAUAUUAAACUCUGAUGGCCAGUUAAGUGCACUCACUUUCAGUAACUACUUUUUAUGUUACUUUGUUCGAUGUUAGACCAUUUAAAUAAAAAGACUAG